GCGAGGAUGGCACAGCGGAGAGGCGCAGUACCGGUAACGGUAAAGGACGCAGGUUCGACUCCUGCACCUCGUA
rnacentral:tRNA from 2 species